CCCUUAGAUGUCCUGGGCUGCACGCGCGCUACACUGAUGUGUCCAGUAAGCACCUAACCUCUUCCGAAAGGAACGGGUAACCUUUGCAAAGCACAUCGUGAUGGGGAUAGAUUAUUGCAAUUAUUAGUCUUGAACGAGGAAUUCCUAGUAAGCACAAGUCAUCAGCUUGUGUUGAUUACGUCCCUGCCCUUUGUACACACCGCCCGUCGCUCCUACCGAUUGAAUGUUCCGGUGAGCUCUUCGGACUGCGCGGUCUGCAGUUUCUGCGUUCCGUGCGUAAAGUUGCGCAAACCUUAACAUUUAGAGGAAGGAGAAGUCGUAACA
rnacentral:rRNA from 1 species